rnacentral:tRNA from 1 species
UCCCUGGUGGUCUAGCGGCUAAGGAUCCUGCACUCUCACUGCCGAGGCCUGGGUCCGAUUCCCGGGCAGGGAA